AGCAGUAGCCGCGGGAAUACGUAGGUCCCGAGCGUUGUCCGGAUUUAUUGAGCGUAAAGCGAGCGCAGGCGGUUAGAUAAGUCUGAAGUUAAAGGCUGUGGCUUAACCAUAGUACGCUUUGGAAACUGUUUAACUUGAGUGCAAGAGGGGAGAGUGGAAUUCCAUGUGUAGCGGUGAAAUGCGUAGAUAUAUGGAGGAACACCGGUGGCGAAAGCGGCUCUCUGGCUUGUAACUGACGCUGAGGCUCGAAAGCGUGGGGAGCAAACAGGAUUAGAUACCCCUGUAGUCCCUGUCUCUUAUACC
rnacentral:rRNA from 1 species